UUUUGGAAAUGGUGAUGACUACUGCUCCGCUACCCAUCUAUUCGAAAACUUUUCAAGAAACGUGAGAUUCAAUUCAUGAGGACUGGAUUUGACAUUAGGGUGCCAAUUAAUUGGCAUGGCUACUGGAAAUGGCACUAUGACGUUUUACCGGGAAUGGUAUAGUCUAUCUGCCACGUGGUCGAAGCUGGAUAGUUUAUUCGGACCCCAGGAUUGAAGUUAUUACUUUUGGAAAUGGUAUUCAAGAACAUUUUCAAGAUUCAAUUCAUGAGGCUGCUGGCCUGGUUUUUUUCCUUUCUUGUGUGGACAUUAGGGUUUCAUUUCAUUGGCAACUGGCAAGGCAACUGAUGGAAAUCGAACAGUGAUAUUUUCCCAGAAUCUGACACGUGGUAGAACCUGGUAAGUUUAUUCGGACCCCUGGUCGGCCCGAGUGAUGCGCACCAGUAGUUGUCAUCGGAAUUUUGUCAGUGGAGACCACUGAUUGGGUUUGGUUUGUGAGUUGAUGUCACUUCUUUCAUCCAUC
rnacentral:lncRNA from 1 species